rnacentral:lncRNA from 1 species
GUUGAAUGUUUAGUUUUCUUUUUAAGGAAAUAGAAGUUAUUAAAUUUUGGUGGCUCAUCAUGCAGUGCAUAUGAGAAGGACAUGCUUUCAAAGGUUAAGACUGCUCCCCUGAUUCCUACAGC